AUGAACGUUGGCGGCGUGGAUUAGGCAUGCAAGUCGAGCGAGAAGUUUACUUCGGUAAAUGGACAGCGGCGAAAGGGACAGUAAUGUGUAGGUACCUACCCCCCGAUCUGGGAUAGCUGCGGGAAACUGCAGGUAAUACCGGAUAAUGUCUUCGGACCAAAGGUGUGAUUCCGUCAGGGGAGGGGCCUGCAUCCUAUUAGCUUGUUGGUGAGGUAAUGGCUCACCAAGGCAACGAUGGGUAGCGGGUGUGAGAGCAUGACCCGCGUCAUUGGGACUGAGACACUGCCCAGACAUCUACGGAUGGCUGCAGUCGAGAAUCUUCGGCAAUGGGCGAAAGCCUGACCGAGCGACGCCGCGUGCGGGAUGAAGGCCCUCGGGUUGUAAACCGCUGUCGUUGGGGAGGAAAUGCAAAAGGGUUAUCCCUUCUGUUUGACCGAUCCAAGGAGGAAGUACGGGCUAA
rnacentral:rRNA from 1 species